UAUUGGUGUUAAACAGUGUCACCUCCAAUCGUGCAUCAGUUAUUAUUUGGAGUCAUGAUGACGGUCAUGUGGUUCUGUCUGUCGUAGCAGUCCCUUACUCCUCGGUGUGUGACACCAUUUCUUGCUUGACGGCUCUAUCUACCACCCAGCACAGGAACCUCCACUGAGCUCCGUCUUCAGGGGAAGAUUGUUCACUCACGAAUGGAUACUGAUGCCCCUGUGCUCAUUAGAAAUAUGUUCGAGGAAAGAAAAACAGAGAUCGAUAAAGGAGGAAACUGAAAAACCUCCCAUUGGGCCAUUUUUUCUCAUGCAGCGUUGUGUGGGAUUGACACAAGACUAAGGCGAGCCAAAUGCAGCCCUGUUCGUCUAUAUUUACCACAGCAGAAGCUGCCAGUGCCAGUGUGUGUAGGAUGGCAGCAAGUAUAGCGCUUCAAUAGGAAAAUAUUGUCAAGAUGGCUCGCUGCAGCAGCCAAGGAACAGACUGAAGAUUACUGUUGCAACCCCAGGUAAGACUCUUAAGUUUUUGAGAUGCCCUGGGACCCUUCUGUCAGAGUUAUGGAGCUACAGGAAGUUUCUGCUCUAAAGGUUUGAAUCCGGACCGAUAGGGGGAGAACUGAGGCAGCAAAGGAGCUUUAAAUGGGACAUCCCAUGCAGUAUUUGAUUUCUUUUUCCCUUCUCCCUUUUCA